GCCCCCAUUGUCUAAUGGCUAUGACGUCAGACUUCUAUGCGCGGUCAUGGUAAUCUGGAGGUUGCGGGUUCGAGUCCCGCUGGGGGUA
rnacentral:tRNA from 1 species